GAUGAACGCUGGCGGCGUGCCUAAUACAUGCAAGUCGAACGAACAGGUGAGGAGCUUGCUCCUCUGACGUUAGCGGCGGACGGGUGAGUAACACGUGGAUACCCCACCUAUAACACUGGUAUAACUUCGGGACGCCGGAUCUAACUCCGUAUAACAAAUUCAACCGCAGGGUUUAUUAGUGAAAGACGGUUUUGCUUUCACGUAUUGCUGGAUCCGCGCCGCAUUAGCUAGUUGGUAAGGUAACGGCUUAACAACGCAACGACGCGUAGCCGACCUGAGAGGGUGAUCGGCGACCCGAGAACGGGAACACGGUCCAGAGUCCUGAGAGAGGCAGCAGUAGGGAAUCUUCCGCAAUAGGCGAAAGCCUGACGGAACAACGCCGCGUGAGUGACGAAGGUCUUCGGAUCGGAAAACUCUGUUAUUAGGGAAAAACAAAUGUGUAAGUAACUAUACACGUCUUGACGGUACCUAAUCAAAAAGCCACGGCUAACUACGUG
rnacentral:rRNA from 1 species